UUACUUACGGACGCAUGGGUUACCGUGAUCAAUAAGGCGGUGAUCCCCGGAGUGAGACUUCUUUCACGGGGCUGACCUCCGCGAUUUUGAGAUAUUUCCUAAUGCGGAAAACCUCAAGCGUAUAAAUUUUUGGUAGCCGGGACUGCGUAACGCUGUCCCGC